UACGAAGGGGGCUAGCGUUGCUCGGAAUCACUGGGCGUAAAGGGUGCGUAGGCGGGUCUUUAAGUCAGGGGUAAAAUCCUGGAGCUCAACUCCAGAACUGCCCUUGAUACUGAGGAUCUUGAGUUCGGGAGAGGUGAGUGGAACUGCGAGUGUAGAGGUGAAAUUCGUAGAUAUUCGCAAGAACACCAGUGGCGAAGGCGGCUCACUGGCCCGAUACUGACGCUGAGGCACGAAAGCCAGGGGAGCAAACGGG
rnacentral:rRNA from 1 species